CUCAAACCGGAAGUUUAUGUGGUUGCCUGGGAGACCGGACUUCGCCCUAGGGCUCGGGCAUCACACACAGCUGAGCCCACAGAGGCCCCGCGAGCGGGCGCCGCGUGGCGGAGUGAGCUGAAGCUGCAGCCUGGGACCCGAUCGAUCGUGAGGAAAGACGCGGCCACACUGUCCCGAGGAAAUGCGGACCGAGGUUUGCAAGCCACUUGUCAGAACAAAGCACUUAAGAAAUUUUACUGAUAUUGUGGCCCCCUUUACUACUUGGACUCCCUUGCCUUUCGAUCUCAGAAUCACCACUAGCUCCCUUCUGAUUAAGCAAGAAUUGAUUAAGCGGGGCUUUUAGUUGGACACUGAAAGCUGAGAUGCAGAUAGUGAUUCUGGAAGAGGGGUAGUAAUGCGCCCAAACGUGCCCAUCCUGGAACCCUUGGUCUACACAGGACCCACUAGGCACACCUACAGCGUACCAAGCUCGGUAGCUCACCUCAGGGCAGCCCCUCACAACCUAGUACACAUCAGGAUUACCUGAGGAGUUCCUGAAGCUGCAGACUGAGUGAAGGGAUACAGGAAUAGCAGUCUGGCCAAGCUCUCCAGAUGACUUUAAUACAAGUGGUCCACUGACCCCACAAUAAGAAACAUGCUCUUGAAAAAAGUUUCAAACUCCAGGCAUAUAAUCUGCGAUCCGGCCAAAGAGCAGCCGUCCGACUCCUGAAGUGAUGCCAAUGCACAUGAGAACCACCUCUUUAUUUUUUCCAUCUUGAAAUCUUUCAUUCACAUAUUUCAUCUGUGGACCAUCAAGAAAGAAGCAACACUAAAUACGGAGGACCUGAACCAAACUGACACUCCUGAAACAGCUGGAGUGGAGCUUCCAGGAUAAAGCAGAAGUACAUAAACAUCUUAUUUAAAAGUCACACUCUUCAGAGGAGCCAGGCUCAAGCCCUGGCCAUACCAGCUACCAGCCUUGCAUGAUUGCCUAUCUCACAGUGUGGCCCUGAGACUCCAGUGAAAGAUAACGUUUGUGGGAACUUCUUGUAUGUCAAACGUCAAUAAAAAGGGAAAUGAGUAAAUGUUGCAUUUGUUUAAGAAACUGGUGGUUUUAAGCAAAUCCUUCCAUGGCUGUGAGGACUGGACACGCUGAAUCCUAAACCACAUGAUCAGGAGCUCUGGACGCAGCAGCUGUUCCUGCCGUGUUACUCCAAGAAUGAAUCUGUUCAAUUAGACAUGGGUGCAGACACAGCUGGCCUGCGGACCUGCACACCAGCUGUCCAUGUUUGCAGUUCUGCCUCCACAUGGCAGGCACUGCCUACCAGUAAAUGGGCUUUUCUCCAGUUUGUUACAAAGGAAUAUAAACUUCCUGAUUAUGAGUGAGCUGUAAAAAACUAGAUACAGAUAACGGGGACAGAAAGCAGGAAAAGCAAAGGGGAAAUGGACAGUGGCAUGGGCAGUCCGGGGGCUAAUACAUAAGAGAUGUGCAUCCCUCAAACUUGCUUUGGGCACUAAAGACUCUUCCCUUCAGGACAAAUAUAUAACUAAGGCCUAUUCUGCUCUGUAAUCCUGGAGUUAGUGUCUACAAUGGCUUCUCCAAAAGAGAUGCUCCAGAAUUUGGAGAUAAGGAUAAAUUAGCAGAAAUGUACUCUCAAUGGAUCAGACAACUCUGUCCACCUGCCAGAAUCACCCAGUAAAUAUGGGGUAAAGCCAAUGUCCAAGUAUAGCCUCACAAAGGGAAGAUUCUGCAAAUAAUAUUUUUAUUUCUAUUCAUCUUCUAAUUGAUAUAAAAACCACAAUAGGACCCUCACCAGCUAAUUUAGGUCCUUCAAACUUCAACAAACUUUAAUUUGAUACUAAUCCAAGCAAUUGAGGGAUAAGCAAAUAUCCACAUAAUGGUUAAAUUUUGAAAUUAUUCAAAAGUAUAUUUUAGCAAAUAAAACCUGAGAUACUUAAAAAAACAAAAACCCUGGUGACACUAGACAUUAACAAGAGAGAGGGAACAGCUUUCCAACACCAGGACUCUUUAGGGCCUUCUCAGGACACUAAUGAUCAGUGAUGGAUGGAUACUUUAUAACUCUAAAAUAUAAGCAAUUUACUUUUUUUCCAUUUUCCUGUAAUAGUACUUAUGUUAACCAAAAGAGGCCGGAUCUUGUAAAUUUUUACAUUUGUCCAUUUUUUUCUUCUGCUAUGCUUCAUGUUUAUUGUAGAACUCAAAACCUAAUGCAAAACUGUGUAUAUUCCCUAUUCUGCUUGUCACAGGUUGUGAAAAGCGAUUCAGUUUUCUCAUAUUGACAAUGUAGUAGAGAUGAGAAGAGUUGACGUACGGCUGGAAAUACGGUUACAUGACACCCUCUCCUUUACAUCACAUCAGAACAGAAGCCUGUUUCCUCCAUGGUCCUGUCCAUGGCUGCACAGCAGGCUCUGAGAGCUGCACUGGCCCAGCAACGCCUCUGUUCUUAGUUCUGAGAAUGGAAGGGAAACUUCCAAGGCAAAGGAAACUUGGCCUGAUAACAGGCAGCACUCCAUCUGUGGGGUGACUUGAUGGAGGGACAGCAGACUCUUUCAUAAAAAGAACAUGAGACUUAGACUCCAACACUUGUGCUCAAAUCCCAGCUCUGAGCAUAACUCAGUGAGUGACGUUGAACUCAGCACAGUCAUUUCCUUAGCCCUAACUUUGUAAUUAAUUAUUACACUUGAUACACUCAUCCUUGUGAUGGUUAUGUGAGAUUUUGUGAAAAUGCCCGAUACAUUAUGGAUUCUCCCUGAAUCUCCCUCUGAGGAAGCCUCAAACUGAUGAAAGCAUGUAUGCUGUUCUUGUUUGCAUGGCUCAGCACCCUGAGGUCUGGUUUACAGAAUUCCUGCUUUCACAAUAUGAAGAGAAGGGCCCUAGCCAGUGAGGUCUAACAGUGACAUUUCUGUAUUGGCCCAUGAGAACAUCUGGCAUUAAUCAAAGCUAUAAAAUGUCUCUUGAGGUACUAUAUGCCCUGUUUAUUGGCAUAUUGGUCUCAAAAUUUCACUCCUAGUUUAAAAAUAUAAAUUGUUUGUCCCCAAUUACCACUGGACUUGGUGUCCACUUAAUUGUCCUGUCAGCAUGCAAAUGACUGUGUCUUUGAUCACAGUAUCAGAUACAUGGGUCUUUCUACAGAUCAAAGUUUCUUUUGAGAACAAUUACUUCCUGACACAAAACUGACACAUUCCUAUCUUAUCAUGAAGUUUUGAAAACAGGCUAAUCAACACAUAUAUUGCAGAUUACGACAUGAGUCAGUCAUCUUCUCCCUGAUAGAGAACUAUGUGGGUCGAAAGCUUAAACACUAAAACUCAACCCCACUACCAUGUUCUAGAGUCAAAGAACACAGGUACUAAAUAGCUGCUUUUCAAGAUGAGUAGUGGUGGAGAGAUGUGAAAGUAAUUAAAUCAUGAUCCUCGUAUUGAGGAUGGAGCACUUCAUGUUACCUAGAAAAGUUACAUUAUCAUUGUCAUUCUUAGGCAUUUAUCAGUCAUCUGACUGACGUGGCCCUGUGUCUUGCCAAAGCUACGUAGACCUGUGGUCAGACUAUGGCUCCUGCAUCCAACCCUGUUCCAACACGCACCACCCAAGGCUCUUUAAGAUUUUCGGUCACUACACAGUAGGGCAGACAGCAACUGUCUAGCUUUCCUAGUUAAUGGGGAUGGCUACCAAGCGUUCCUAUUCUCUCCUUCCACAUACUUACAGUAGUGACAAAGACACAGAAAUUUCUCCUAUUUAUCAAGUUAUAAUUUCAACAUAAUGCAUAUAAAGAUGUGGGUCAGGGCAAAACACAUAAAUUACUUUCUCUGUUAAAAUAUGGC